UCACUGCCAUUUCCCUCAGGGGACAAAGGAGGUUAGCACAACAAAGAGACUCCUCUCAAAACAGAGUAGCAAAUGCCACAGGUCAGAAGUUCACUAUUUAAAGCUCCUGCUUUUCUACGGCAUUACCUCAAUGGUCUGGGCAUCCCUACUGCUGCUUUAGAAGGAAAAGAGAGAUUAUAUUCAGACUCAAGCCCGACAGCCGAACCAGUCUCUACCAGCCAAUGACAGAUACGGACAGAGCCCCUGCAAGUGAUAUCGCCUACCCUGCAGACAGCUGGAAGAGGAGGAAGAGGAUGGGAGCUCAUCCAUCAUGAGGAUGAAGUCUUGCUUUAAAAAAUCUGGAUGUCAGCAAAAAUCAAUUCCUGCUUGCCAACUGUCUCAAAAGCAAGUUUGUUGUCCCUUACUCCCACGGGUGGAUUCCAGUCCCAGCUGAUGAGAACUCUGUGAACAAUAACCUCAGCUCUAAGAAAAGGAUUUCUCCUUUUUUGAA